rnacentral:rRNA from 1 species
AUUGAACGCUGGCGGCAUGCUUUACACAUGCAAGUCGAACGGUAACAGGCCGCAAGGUGCUGACGAGUGGCGAACGGGUGAGUAAUGCAUCGGAACGUGCCCAGUCGUGGGGGAUAACGCAGCGAAAGCUGUGCUAAUACCGCAUACGAUCUGUGGACGAAAGCGGGGGACCGUAAGGCCUCGCGCGAUUGGAGCGGCCGAUGUCAGAUUAGGUAGUUGGUGGGGUAAAGGCUCACCAAGCCGACGAUCUGUAGCUGGUCUGAGAGGACGACCAGCCACACUGGGACUGAGACACGGCCCAGACUCCUACGGGAGGCAGCAGUGGGGAAUUUUGGACAAUGGGCGCAAGCCUGAUCCAGCAAUGCCGCGUGCAGGAAGAAGGCCUUCGGGUUGUAAACUGCUUUUGUACGGAGCGAAAAGGCUCUCUCUAAUACAGGGGGCUCAUGACGGUACCGUAAGAAUAAGCACCGGCUAACUACGUGCCAGCAGCCGCGGUAACAC